rnacentral:rRNA from 1 species
UACCAGCACCCCGAGUGGUCGGGACGAUUAUUGGGCCUAAAGCAUCCGUAGCCGGUCAUGCAAGUCCUCCGUUAAAUCCAGCCGCUCAACGGUUGGGCUGCGGAGGAUACUACGUGGGCUAGGAGGCGGGAGAGGCAAGCGGUACUCAGUGGGUAGGGGUAAAAUCCUUUGAUCCAUUGAAGACCACCGUGGCGAAGGCGGCUUGCCAGAACGCGCUCGACGGUGAGGGAUGAAAGCUGGGGGAGCAAACCGG